GCCGGGCGUGGUGGCUCACGCCUGUAAUCCCAGCACUUUGGGAGGCUGAGGCAGGCGGAUCACCUGAGGUUGGGAGUUCGAGACCAGCCUGACCAACAUGGAGAAACCCUGUCUCUA
rnacentral:SRP_RNA from 1 species